rnacentral:sRNA from 1 species
AGUCUUAAAAAAAUUUCGUGCGGUGUGCGUUGAUAGCAGCAGCGUCUGAAAAAGUUUUGUGAAUUUCCUACUCUACACAAAGCAAAGUGAAAAUUACUAUAUUUUUACCUUUAUUCUGUGACUAGAACGAAAAACAUACAUACAAGGUG